AUCGCUUCUCGGCCUUUUGGCUAAGGUUUAAUAUCUGAUACGUCCUCUAUCCGAGGACAAUAUAUUAAAUGGAUUUUUGGAACUAGGAGUUGGAAUAGGAGCUUGCUCCGUCCACUCCACGCAUCGACCUGGUAUUGCAGUACCUCCAGGAACGGUGCACCCCCU
rnacentral:snRNA from 1 species